rnacentral:rRNA from 1 species
GACGAACGCUGGCGGCGUGCUUAACACAUGCAAGUCGAACGGAAAGGCCCUGCUUUUGUGGGGUGCUCGAGUGGCGAACGGGUGAGUAACACGUGAGUAACCUGCCCUUGACUUUGGGAUAACUUCAGGAAACUGGGGCUAAUACCGGAUAGGAGCUCCUGCUGCAUGGUGGGGGUUGGAAAGUUUCGGCGGUUGGGGAUGGACUCGCGGCUUAUCAGCUUGUUGGUGAGGUAGUGGCUUACCAAGGCUUUGACGGGUAGCCGGCCUGGGAGGGUGACCGGCCACAUUGGGACUGAGAUACGGCCCAGACUGCUACGGGAGGCAGCAGUGGGGAAUAUUGCACAAUGGGCGGAAGCCUGAUGCAGCAACGCCGCGUGCGGGAUGACGGCCUUCGGGUUGUAAACCGCUUUCGCCGGUGACGAAGCGUGAGUGACGGUAAUGGGUAAAGAAGCACCGGCUAACUACGUG